rnacentral:lncRNA from 1 species
GCUUAAUAUGUGAUGCAUUGUUGUAUAUAUGCAAUAAACAACAUAGGAUAAGCAUUGUUAAUCAUGUACUACUGCGGUCAAACAGAAAGCGUCCAAUAGCACUACUGCGAUCAAACAGAAAGCAUCCGAUAGCACUAUUAUACAUCUAAAAUGCGCAUUGUUAUAUUUCAAGUAACCUAAACUUUUGGAUCUCUUUGGACCUCAUAUUUCAAAUAUGAAAAUAGAAGCCAUCUUCAUAGCAAACUCUAGUUGCCGUUAUCCAUACAUCUUCAAAUCCACACCAUCUGACUGCAUUUAAGAUGUGGUCUUUUGCAUAAAUCAUCAACCCAUUCAUCUUAUUCCAUAUCCAUAAAAUCCUAAAAGGUCAUAACCAGUAUGAACCUUAGGUUUGUGGGGUUUUGGUUGCAUGAAGUUGUGGCUUCAUUAGUGAAAAAAGAAAAAUAAUUGUUGCUGACCCUUCAUUGAAAAGGUAUAUGAGCCUCUGUGGUAAUUGGUCAUGACUACAAAUGCCAUGAGCUUGAAGUACAACCAAAGAUAAGUGCCUUCUUAGCCUGCAUAGAAGCCCACAAAAAGUAGUUGCAAGAGCGGAGGCAUUUGUACUAAGAAACAGCCGAUGACAAUACAACAUGGAGUAUUAGUGGAUGGAAUGAUAUAGUUGAUGAACUCUACAGAACAAAACCUACCCAUGAUUCUAGCAGAUGGUGGCUUCGAUAUGUGGAUUGUCAAACUCCAUAAGAACCAGAACUAUUGUACAUACCUGCAUAAAUUAGCACUAAUAUUAAUGAGUAAAUCUAUACAAGGGUGUCUACUGCAAACCAAGUAAUUGACAAAAGAGCAAAGCUGAUGAGAAUAACAAGCAUCAAUGUAAAAAAAGAAGAAGGAAGAGCAUGUGAAGUAUCUGAAAUAUAUACCAAAUCUACACGACUACCUUAUGUCACAAAUAUAGCUAUACCAACUAAUGAAUUAAAAAUAAAAAUCAAUAAGAGAAAAUAAGGGAUACAUGCUAGUUAGUAUUGGAGUUAAGCUCCCAAUACUGUUGUGGAGAAUUGGUGUUGUUUAGGACACUAUAAUUUUCUUCAAUGGUCCCCUGUAAGUGUGAACAAAAAAAAAUCAAAACCUUAUUGGCAGUGUUCAACAUCACUCAUAAGAUUAGACAAAAAAGUGAUUGCAUUAUGGAUAUAACAAAUCAUGCCUAUAAGUAUAGACAUUUGAUAAUUAUUCCAUGAAAGAAUUACAAGAUAAGAGGAGGAGGAAUACUAGAAAGUUUCUUAACCCCUGGUAAGGAAACUUAGAAUAGGUAUGCAGCUUCACGAAUAACCAAUAUCCACAACACCAACAGAUGGACCAAAUAACCAUCAUUUGGCAAUCUAUUAAAGCUGAGAAUGAACUUUGGGAACCUGACCAAACAAGCAGACCAAAGAUCAGGUAGGGCAGAUAUUUUCCUUUGCAAGCAGUUACAUUUUAAGGCGUUUAUGAAACAGUAUCAACCGUGAGUUAUUAACAAUCAGAAUAUCAAACGAUGGCAUUAAAUAGUUACAAACCAGAUGGCAUGUUCCUUUUUCAAUUAUAAAUUCUAAUCAAUAAGGAAAAUAGAAGAGUCAGUAAAUGUUAUCCUCAUUUAGCAAUUUAAAGGGUUUUCACAAGUCAGUACAACUAACCACAACCAACUAUAAAAGGCUAUCUAUGACACAUGACAUAUACACAUGCAAUCAGAGAAGAGACAACAUAACAGAGAAAAAAGAGUAAUAUACACAGAUAACAGAGAAAUCAAAGAGUAAUAUACACACAACAAACACACACAGAAAAUAGUAAAGAAAAAGAAUGAUAUACACAACACCUAUUAGAGCAAAAGGAGAAAAUAUUGUCACUGUAAAAAGAGAGAUAAGGCAGAUGUGGAAAAAGCAGAAAAGGGAAAUUGAAAGAGAAAAUAAUACCCAAAAUAGAAGUAAAAGAAAAGGAGGAAAAAGGAUACAAAAAAGGCAAAGGCAACAAACAGAUACAAAAUUAAUCUCAGGUCAAAAUCAUAUCCUUCUUUAUUCUCUUUCCAUUUGAUUGUUAUCAUCUCAAUCGUUUUUUAUAUUCACAUCACUAAUCAAUACACACAGUAAGACAAGCAGAAUUUUAACAUGUGAGGGAUAUGGUUCUUUACCAAAUUCUUUUGUCUUCGCCGAUUUCGAACCACAAACUCAGAGGUGUUUUGCUCUCAUUCUCAUAUCAUAGGUUGUUCCAUAGCAAGGAAUGGGAUAGAGGCCACCAAGUCGAACCAUCAUGGUUGAAUCAGUCCCAACACUGAAAAGGGAUAACAUUUCCCUCUUUUUCGGCACCCAUUUGUAAAAGAGAUGAAGAAGCAAUAGGAAACCAUACCAGCACGACUCGGUGAAGCAGAUCGAGUAUGUAUAAAUUUUAUAUCCUCAAUAAAGUCCUAGACAAUUAAGUGAAAUCCAAUCAACAAAAAACUUACCAAGAAUAUCAUUUUGUAAUGUAAGAGGAAUCAUUACAGCAUGCCAAUAUGAAAAAGACAUAUGUGGUAGAAUUGUAACAAUAGAAUAAAAUUAUAUUGAAAUGUAUACAUUUGUCUCAUACAUGGAAAUGUGAGAAGAGAUACAAUUUAUGCUAUAUAGGGGCUAUCAUUAGAGAUACUAUUGUUUAUAGAGUAAAAUCAAUAAAUAAUAGAAUUUAG